rnacentral:rRNA from 1 species
GGGCAGCCAAGUCGUGAGGCGGAGCUAAUCCCUUAAAGCCAUUCUCAGUUCGGAUUGUAGGCUGAAACUCGCCUACAUGAAGCUGGAGUUACUAGUAAUCGCAGAUCAGAAUGCUGCGGUGAAUGCGUUCCCGGGUCUUGUACACACCGCCCGUCACACCACGGAAGUUGGGGGCGCCCGAAGCCACUUAGCUAACCCUUUUGGGAAGCGAGUGUCGAAGGUGAAAUCAAUAACUGGGGCGAAGUCGUAACAAGGUAUC